UACAGAGGUCCCAAGCGUUGUUCGGAUUUACUGGGCGUAAAGGGUGCGUAGGUGGCGGGGUAAGUCGGAUGUGAAAUCUCCAGGCUCAACCUGGAAAUGGCAUUGGAAACUACCUUGCUGGAGAGUUGGAGGGGGGACUGGAAUACUUGGUGUAGCAGUGAAAUGCGUAGAUAUCAAGUGGAACACCAGUGGCGAAGGCGAGUCCCUGGACAGCUUCUGACGCUGAGGCACGAAAGCUAGGGGAGCAAACAGG
rnacentral:rRNA from 1 species